UUGUCAGCUGCUUUUGUCUCUAAGUAUUUUUUUCUUUUUAUUAUACUUCUAACUUCUUUAAUUAUAUGUAUAUAAUACUUAGACACUUAGGAUUUGUAUGUAUAUAUGCAGGCACCAAAUGAGAGAGCUCAGAAUCAGAAAUGACAAUAGUAUUGGGUUCGUUGACCCUUAUAUUGUUUUCAAAGCUCCGCAGGCAAUGUGGACAGCAGCUCAUGAGACAG
rnacentral:lncRNA from 1 species